rnacentral:siRNA from 1 species
UCCAUGUCGCUCAGCCUCAACGCC